UCCACAGCCUUUUACUGUUGGUUGAAAUAGUUCUGUUAAGGACUAUUUUAGCUCCCAUUAAAAGAAUUUAGGGUUUAAUUUAACAUUUUUAUAAACUCUAGGACUAAAAUUACCCCAUAUAAAUAGUCAAGUGACUUUUUUAACCCUUUACCAAGUACAACUUAUAUGACCGAGCAUUUAGUACGAUGAUAUGUUUAGCAAAACCUUGACUGCGUUCAUUACAAGAAACUUUGAUUGCAUCAAUCUUUAUAAUGUAAGUAAACCCUGGCCUUGAAUGCAUAAUACCACCACAAUUUUUUUCUGCAGCUGUUAUUGGUUUUCAUCUUCAGUUUCGUAAAUUCUGUCAUUGUUUUAUUAACUGUUGUUUAGGUUUUUCAAACAGAGAGAAAGGCCGGUAUCGGUAUGCAGGCCAAUGGAAGCAUAGCCGAAUGCAUGGCUGUGGAGUAUUUGAAGUAAAUGAGCGUAUAAUAUAUGGAAGGUUCUACUUUGGAAAGCAUUUAGAGGAUUCUUCUGGCUGUGAUAGUGAUGUGUCGGCAUUGCAUGCAGGAAUUGCAGAAGUAGCUGCAGCAAAGGCACGGAUGUUUGUCAACAAGCCUGAUGGGAGUAUGUC